rnacentral:rRNA from 1 species
AUUGAACGCUGGCGGCAUGCUUUACACAUGCAAGUCGAGCGGCAGCGCGGGGGCAACCCUGGCGGCGAGCGGCGAACGGGUGAGGAACACAUCGGAACGUGCCCCGGAGUGGGGGAUAACGCCGCGAAAGCGGCGCUAAUACCGCAUAUGCUCUGAGGAGGAAAGCGGGGGACCAGUAAUGGCCUCGCGCUCUGGGAGCGGCCGAUGUCCGAUUAGCUAGNGGUGGGGUAAUGGCCCACCAAGGCGACGAUCGGUAGCUGGUCUGAGAGGAUGAUCAGCCACACUGGGACUGAGACACGGCCCAGACUCCUACGGGAGGCAGCAGUGGGGAAUUUUGGACAAUGGGGCAACCCUGAUCCAGCCAUGCCGCGUGCGGGAAGAAGGCC